rnacentral:sRNA from 21 species
AGACUAUAAGGGGUGCAGGGGAAGAAUUCCCAGCCGUAUUUAGGAGGGGGCUUAGCUGACAUGUUUUUUGUCAGCGUCGAAGGGAAU